rnacentral:rRNA from 1 species
GACAGAGGUGCCGAGCGUUAGGCGGAAUCACUGGGCUUAAAGCGCGUGUAGGCGGGCCGUUAAGUGCCCCGUGAAAUCCCCCGGCUCAACCGGGGAACUGCGGGGCAUACUGGCGGCCUUGGGCCACCUAGGGGUCAUCGGAACAGGCGGUGGAGCGGUGAAAUGCGUAGAUAUCGCCUGGAACGCCGACGGUGAAAACAGAUGACUGGGGGUGUGCCGACGCUGAGACGCGAAAGCCAGGGGAGCGAACGGG